rnacentral:lncRNA from 1 species
CCGUUUCUCGUUUCCCGCUGUCCAAGAUCGUUUCGCGAUGGGAAGAGCCAACCUCCACACUUGCAAUUGGUUGAUCGCCUCCGAGAAGUGAAACGGCUGCUCGCGUUGCUCUCCAAAUCCCGUCGAAAUGGCGGCUCUCGCGGCCUCUAUUGGCCUUCGUCCUAAGCCUCCGAGCUCUCUCAAGUCUUUUCCUUAUACACUUUUUCGUAGGAUUCAGUGCUCCAUCGAGGAUCUCAAGGGCCAGAGAGUUGCGGUCAGUCUUCCUCACUCUCCUCCUCCUCCUCCGGAAAUAUCUUGUUCUUGUAGUUUCUGUCGAUCUUUUCCCUUAGAGGUGACAACAAAUCCAAGAAUAGAAAAUCUUUGUACUGAUCAACAGAUGUUGGA